UAAGGAAUAUUGGACAAUGGAGGCAACUCUGAUCCAGCCAUGCCGCGUGAAGGAAUAAGGCCCUAUGGGUUGUAAACUUCUUUUAGACGGGACAAAACCCCUUUACGUGUAAAGGGUUGAUGGUACUGUCAGAAUAAGCAUCGGCUAACUUCGUGCCAGCAGCCGCGGUAAUACGAAGGAUGCAAGCGUUAUCCGGAAUUAUUGGGUUUAAAGGGUGCGUAGGCGGACUAAUAAGUCAGUGGUGAAAGCCUGCAGCUUAACUGCAGAAUUGCCAUUGAUACUGUUAGUCUUGAGUACAGUUGAGGUAGGCGGAAUGUGUCAUGUAGCGGUGAAAUGCUUAGAUAUGACACAGAACACCGAUUGCGUAGGCAGCUUGCUAAGCUGUAACUGACGCUGAGGCACGAAAGCGUGGGGAGCAAACA
rnacentral:rRNA from 1 species